CAUCCCAAUAGCAAUCACUAAGUUAAAGUGUACUAAAAAAUAUUUAAAAAACGCUUUUGUCCACAGUGUCAAACUGAGUCCUGAAACACACUCGCUGCCAAUCAGUAGAAAGGGGCGUAUCUAGUAAUGAUAAGGAGAAGAGAGCGCUCAGUGAGUGCACAGGACAGAUAUUAGCAGAUCGACUAUAGCAAGAGAUUUUUUUAAAAAGAGGAAAAUCUCGGAAGAACAAAACAUUAAAAUGAUCAGACAAGAGGUUGGACUUGUGUAAAUAUUGGAGCAGUUUCCAGUGGUGAAGAAACUGGUGAAGGAGCGGGAAGGCCUGGGACUGAACACUGAGGUAGCUUUGUUUCUCCUUGAUAGAAGCUGUUAUUCCUGUGAUACAGUUGGAGUUCCCACCUGUUUUAUUGCUAAACGGCUGCUAGAGAGCACAACAGGUGAGAAAACACAGAGAUUUCAGCAACAGAAGUGAUAGGGUUAUCUUAAUUUCUUACAGUUCUUGCACUUACAAUAAAGGCCUCUACUGAAAGAGUGUCAUGUUACUCUGUUCAUGAUUUGGUGAAAGAUUUGUGUUUGUAGGUCAGGUUUUUAUAUGGUUUUGCAUAUAGCACCAAAUAUUCCCACAAGGACAGAUAAAACUGAAAUUAUUAUUUAAC
rnacentral:lncRNA from 1 species